AGAGUUAAACAGUACGUGAAAUUGUUGAAAGGGAAACGAUUGAAGUCAGUCGUACCGACGAGAAAUCAGCUCACUGAACGUGCAUUUGCGGGCGUAUGAGAGCUUCGGCCUCAUUGUUUGCAAUGUGUAUUUUUUGGGUGUACUUUUUCGUAUGGUAGGUCAAUGUCGGUUUUGAUCGCUAUAAAAUGACCGGAGGAAUGUGGCUUCGAUCUCGGUUGAAGUGUUAUAGCCUCUGGUAGAUGUAAUGAUUGAGAUUGAGGAUUGCAACGAAAACCCUAAAGGGUUAUCUGUCUGGUCUCUUAUUGUCUCUUUGGUGCCGGAAGCUUGCUUACGGCUAUUGAGGUUGACGUUCAAUGGAUUAGAACGGAUCAAAUUCGUUAAGGAUGUUGACGUAAUGGCUUUAAACGACC
rnacentral:rRNA from 1 species